CGGUUGGUUUGUGGAACUAAAGGUCGAAGAGGGAGGGCAUCACAUCUGUAAGGAAAGAAGUCAAAGGGAUCUAUCUGCCGUUUGCAGACACUGUUCCCUAAGCCUGGAAAGCUCUAUCAUGGCAAAUAAUCUACUUUUCCUCUCUCAAGGCCCAAAUGCCACCUGGUUUCCAGGAGAAGAAAAAGCCUCCUUUGCAGAGAACCUCUUAUACCAUGCUUCUCACACUGUUGUGGUUACCACUUCCCCAGGCUGCGGGGCUCCUUCAGGAGCCGUCCGGAAAAAGGGGAAAUGUUGUCUGCAGACAGGGAGGAAUGGCUAUACUGUGUGACAUGCGGGAUCUUAGUUCCCCAACCAGGGAUCGAACCUAUGCCCCCUGCAUUGGGAGCACAGAGUCUUAACCACUGGAGUGCCAGGGAAGUAAGUCCCCUAUAGCCCUUUUUGGGUUGUUGUUGAAUUUUAUUUUAUUUAUUUUUUGUAUGGCAGGUUCUUAUUAGUUAUCUAUUUUAUACAUAUUAGUGUAUAUAUGUCAAUCCCAAUCUCCCAGUUCAUCACACCCCCAACCCCACCCCCAUAGCCCUUUUAAAAUUAGUGUAUCAUUUAAGAAUGUUUAUAUCAUGUAAAUCAUAUCUCUGAUAAGGGGUUAACAUCCAGAAUAUAUAAGGAACUCUCACAACUCAUCAAAAAACCCAAACAACACAGUUUAAAAAUGGGCAAAGGACUUGAAUAGAUAUUUCUCCAGAGAAGAAAUACAAAUGUCCAAUAAGCACAUGAAAAGAUGUGCUUUUAUAUCAUUAACAUUAGAGAAAUGCAAAUAAAAACCACAAUGAGAUACUACCACAUCGAUUGGGACAGCUAUUAUAAAAAUAAACAAAACACAGAAGAUAGCAGCUGUUGACUAGGAUGUGGAGAAAUUGGAAUCCUUGUGAAUAACUGGUGGGAAUGUAAAAUGGUGCAGGCCCUCAAACCAAAAAGCAUAGGGACUUCCCUGGUGGCGCAACGGUUAAGAAUCCGUCUGCCAAUGCAUGGGACACAGGUUCAAUCCCUGGUCCAGGAAGAUCGCACAUGCUGUGGAGCAACUAAGCCCGUGAGCCACAACUACUGAGCCCACUCACCACAACUCCAGAAGUCCGUGCACACUAGGGCCCACGUGCCACAACUACUGAGCCCACAUGCUGCAACUGCUAAAACCUGCAUGCCUAGAGUCCGUGCUCCGCAACAAGAGAAGCCACCGCAAUGAGAAGCCUGUGCACCGCAAUGAAGAGUAGCCCUCCACUCAGCGCAACUAGAGAAAGCCUGUGCACAGCAGUGAAGACCCAAUGCAGCUAAAAAAAAAAUAAAAUUGAAAAAAAAUAUGUAGAAUUACCAUAUGAUCUAGCCAUCUCAUUUCUCAGUAUAUAACCAAAAGAAGUGAAAUCAGAGAUU